CCAGAUGGCAUCCCAUCAUCCGCAGCAUCUCUCAACCUUUAUCUCCUAUCUCCUGCCUCAUCUCCUUCCUAAGUAAAGAACACCUUCCAACUCAACAUAAGGCAGCUACAGGUUGGAGUGCAAUGGCGCAAUCUUGGCUCACGACAACCUCCGCCUCCCGGGUAUAAGUGAUUCUCCUGCCUCGGCCUCCCGAGUAGCUGAGAUUACAGCCUUAAACCGAUUAAAUGAAGUCUUGACAGCCAGCAGCCUGCAUCCACUACAGAAAAAACGACACCUUGAAUCACACCUUCACUUGAAUUCAGUUGAGUUCCAGUGACUACCACCUCUGUGCUUUGUCAACUUUGGGUUGAGUCCUUUCCUGAAAACACAUCAGUGUAACUAAGAAGUCACUGCUGUUUCUUGGAGUUGGGUUGGAAUAGUUGGAGUGGGAGCCAGGAUGGUUGGAAAACAAACCACACAUAUUGCUGCUUCUGGAAGCUUUGUUCUUUAAUGAGCCAUGGGGUGAUUUGUUCAUCAAGCUGCUUUUGUGUAGCCAUACAGUGCAUAUUUUGAGUGACACAAACUGCACUUUAUACAGAUGAUAUCUUGUUACCCCUCAACCCCCUGGCAAAGAAAAAAAAACAAAAAGGA
rnacentral:antisense_RNA from 1 species